ACACGAGGAAGGAGGUGGUCUGGAAUUGCAUGACAUACGGACACGUGAGGUGACCAUCCGCUAGACGCACGACCGUGCUGCGAUUCGUUUCUGCGCCGGACGCGCUCUGGCGAAUCCCAGGUGGUCACCCGGCCCCCGCGCCCUGGUCUGUCCAGACCAGAACGAGCCCACGAGCUCGAGCCCGACCAUCGGGUGGCGCGGGGGUCGUUCCCG
rnacentral:sRNA from 1 species